AUUGAACGCUGGCGGCAUGCCUUACACAUGUAAGUCGAACGGCAGCGCGGGAGCAAUCCUGGUGGCGAGUGGCGAACGGGUGAGUAAUGCAUCGGAACGUGCCAUUGAGUGGGGGAUAACGUAGCGAAAGUUACGCUAAUACCGCAUAUUCUGUGUGCAGGAAAGCAGGGGAUCGCAAGACCUUGCGCUCUUUGAGCGGCCGAUGUCAGAUUAGCUAGUUGGUGAGUAAAGGCUCACCAAGGCGACGAUCUGUAGCGGGUCUGAGAGGAUGAUCCGCCACACUGGGACUGAGACACGGCCCAGACUCCUACGGGAGGCAGCAGUGGGGAAUUUUGGACAAUGGGGGCAACCCUGAUCCAGCCAUGCCGCGUGAGUGAAGAAGGCCUGGUUGUAAGACUCUUCGUCCGGAGGAAAACGACACAGUAAGUAACCUACGUGUGGAGUGACGGUACCGGAACGUAACGAAGAACCGGACGUAACUAACGUACG
rnacentral:rRNA from 1 species